rnacentral:rRNA from 1 species
UGAGUGGCGAACGGGUGAGUAACACGUGGACAACCUGCCUCAAGGCUGGGGAUAACAUUUGGAAACAGAUGCUAAUACCGAAUAAAACUUAGUGUCGCAUGACAAAAAGUUAAAAGGCGCUUCGGCGUCACCUAGAGAUGGAUCCGCGGUGCAUUAGUUAGUUGGUGGGGUAAAGGCCUACCAAGACAAUGAUGCAUAGCCGAGUUGAGAGACUGAUCGGCCACAUUGGGACUGAGACACGGCCCAAACUCCUACGGGAGGCUGCAGUAGGGAAUCUUCCACAAUGGGCGAAAGCCUGAUGGAGCAACGCCGCGUGUGUGAUGAAGGCUUUCGGGUCGUAAAGCACUGUUGUAUGGGAAGAACAGCUAGAAUAGGAAAUGAUUUUAGUUUGACGGUACCAUACCAGAAAGGGACGGCUAAAUACGUGCCAGCAGCCGCGGUAAUACGUAUGUCCCGAGCGUUAUCCGGAUUUAUUGGGCGUAAAGCGAGCGCAGACGGUUUAUUAAGUCUGAUGUGAAAGCCCGGAGCUCAACUCCGGAAUGGCAUUGGAAACUGGUUAACUUGAGUGCAGUAGAGGUAAGUGGAACUCCAUGUGUAGCGG